AGAUCACACCACUAGAAAAUAUGGAAUUAUAAAUUUUCAUAGCUAAACAAUGAAAAUUUCAUAUUAAUCUUAUUUAUCUACGUAUUAAUGACGAAUUAUGAGGAAAUUGAACUGAUUAAAGCUUUUUAUCGAUGAAUUAUCAAUAAAUUUCGUUGCUAAUUUCAUAUUUUGUGGUGAGUGUAUAGAGGAAGAAGAUGGACUAACAUGACAAAGAAGAGUUUGUCAAGUCGCCAAAGAUGCUUGCCACUCAUUUUCCCAAUACCAUAGAAAGUGUUGUAAUCAAUUUCCAUUUUACAAAAGGCAUUGAUGAAAGGCAAGUCAUCCUUGGCUACUAAACAAAUAGAAACUCUUCUAAUUCAUCAGAACAGGAAAACGGAAUAGGGAGGAAAGGGCAGAGAUAACUGGUCUCUUUAAGAUACUACAGCAUGUAGCUCAACAUUACAAGCUCGAAACUGAUAGCAUUCAAGUGGUUGCUCCGAUAUACAUUUGCUGCAGACGCUCAUGAUUGUUCACUGCACUAGAAAAGAUUUGCAUAAUGUGUCAAACAGCUAAUACCAAAACUUGUGAUAAAAAGGGAAGAACAACAUCAUGAAAAAGUCAAUUCUGUUGGUACUUACUAUUUAGUUGUCCAAGUUUCUUAUAAAUGUCUUACAGAAUCAAGAGAAGUCUUGUUACUCCGAAUUUCAGAGGUAAACAAGAAUGCAGUAAUGAAUUUAGAUGUUACAUUUCUCCUGGGUCCUUGUAUAUAUCAUUAUGGAAUAUCCAAAAUGAGACCACCUUCAGUCUGAUGUUACCAAAGAUCGUUGAGUCAAAUUCGAGAGAGCAUUUUCCAGAAGGCUCUGUUUCUAGUGUACAUGACCAAUUGAGAUCUUAGCAAACAUAUUUCUUUUUGUAUGACAUCAUGCUCCCUUAAAGAGUUAACAUAAUAUCUUUGUCCUAAGAAUAGCAAUUUUGGAGUGAGCCCUAAAACAUUUAGCCAUGCUCCAAUGUUCAAUUA